UACGAAGGGGGCUAGCGUUGCUCGGAAUCACUGGGCGUAAAGGGCUCGUAGGCGGCCAACUAAGUCAGACGUGAAAUCCCCAGGCUCAACCUGGGAACUGCGUCUGAUACUGGAUGGCUUGAAUCCGGGAGAGGGAUGCGGAAUUCCAGGUGUAGCGGUGAAAUGCGUAGAUAUCUGGAGGAACACCGGUGGCGAAGGCGGCAUCCUGGACCGGUAUUGACGCUGAGGCGCGAAAGCCAGGGGAGCAAACGGG
rnacentral:rRNA from 1 species